rnacentral:piRNA from 1 species
UCCGGCAAACUUGCACGAUGAGGUUCC